ACCAGCCAUGGCUGACCUCGGGCAACUGAACCUGAAGACAGCAAAACUGUGAAUGAGGGGUAGUCACUGUACUGUUAUCGGGAUUAUAACUUAACAGCUGAGUUUGAGGAAAAGUCUGUUUUUAGGAACAACAACAAAAAGCCCAAUGUUUCUUGUGUAAACAGACUUUUCUCCAGGUAAAGGAAUCUGUGAGUCCUGGAACCAGCGGCUCCCCACUACCCAGCCUCAAUCCCCUUCUUUCUGGAGCAUGGGAGGCCUUUUUGAGCAGGCCUGACUAUAAAACAGGUCGCCUACCAAGCGUGGCUGUUGGGAUGUCAGGACCAGAGUAGAGAAGAGGAUUCCUCAGCUUUGCCAUCUCUGAACCCAAUUUGGACCAGGAAGAAGCUUGAGCCAGCCUAGCCACCUGUACCAGCCCUUUGACCUUCCUGAUGUAGACAUUCCAAAAACAACAUGUGUGCAUGCCAGUGCCCACACAA